rnacentral:rRNA from 1 species
AGCUAGUUGGCGAGGUAACGGCUCACCAAGGCGAUGAUCGUUAGCCGGUCUGAGAGGAUGACCGGCCACACUGGAACUGAGACACGGUCCAGACUCCUACGGGAGGCAGCAGUGGGGAAUAUUGCGCAAUGGGCGAAAGCCUGACGCAGCGACGCCGCGUGGGGGAUGAAGCUUCUCGGAGUGUAAACCCCUUUCGACCCGGACGAAUGCCCCGCAAGGGGAGGGACGGUACGGGUAUAAGAAGCCCCGGCUAACUACGUGCCAGCAGCCGCGGUAAUACGUAGGGGGCCAGCGUUGCUCGGAAUAACUGGGCGUAAAGGGUUCGUAGGCGGUGCGGAAAGUUGGGAGUGAAAUCUCUGGGCUUAACUCAGAGACUGCUUUCAAAACUUCCGUGCUCGAGUGCGAGAGAGGCAAGUGGAAUUGCAGGUGUAGCGGUGAAAUGCGUAGAUAUCUGCAGGAACACCCGUGGCGAAGGCGGCUUGCUGGAUCGCAACUGACGCUGAGGAACGAAAGCUAGGGGAGCAACCAGGAUUAGAUACCCUGGUAGUCCUAGCCCUAAACGAUCAGAACUUGGGGCGCAUCCCGUUGGGGGUGCGUCUCGUAGCUAACGCGUUAAGUUCUGCGCCUGGGGAGUACGGUCGCAAGACUGAAACUCAAAGGAAUUGACGGGGGCCCGCACAAGCGGUGGAACAUGUGGUUUAAUUCGACGCAACGCGAAGAACCUUACCUGGGCUUGAACUGCACCGGACAAAGGUAGAAAUACCUCUCCCGCAAGGGCUGGUGUAGAGGUGCUGCAUGGCUGUCGUCAGCUCGUGCCGUGAGGUGUUGGGUUAAGUCCCGCAACGAGCGCAACCCUUACCCUUAGUUGCCACCCGCAAGGGGGAACUCUAAGGGGACUGCUCCGGAUAACGGAGAGGAAGGUGGGGAUGAGGUCAAGUCAGCAUGGCCUUUAUGUCCAGGGCUACACACGUGUUACAAUGCAUGGUACAGACCGCUGCAAACCCGCGAGGGGGAGCUAACCGGAAAAAACCAUGCUCAGUUCGGAUUGCAGUCUGCAACUCGACUGCAUGAAGCCGGAAUCGCUAGUAAUGGCGUAUCAGAACGACGCCGUGAAUACGUUCCCGGGCCUUGUACACACCGCCCGUCACAUCACGAAAGUGGGUUGUACUAGAAGUCGCUGAGCCAACCGCAAGGGGGCAGGCGCCCAAGGUAUGACUCAUGAUUGGGGUGAAGUCGUAACAAGGUAGCCGUAGGAGAACCUGCGGCUG